rnacentral:sRNA from 1 species
UACAGUACGCCUUAAGAAAUGUAUGG